rnacentral:rRNA from 1 species
AUACAGAGGGUGCAAGCGUUAAUCGGAAUUACUGGGCGUAAAGCGCGCGUGGGCGGUUUAAUCAGUCGGAUGUGAAAGCCCCGGGCUCAACCUGGGAACUGCAUUCGAUACUGUUAAGCUAGAGUAUGGUAGAGGGAAGUGGAAUUCCAGGUGUAGCGGUGAAAUGCGUAGAUAUCUGGAGGAACAUCAGUGGCGAAGGCGACUUCCUGGACCAAUACUGACGCUGAGGUGCGAAAGCGUGGGGAGCAAACAGGAUUAGAUACCCUAGUAGUCC